UGGGGAAUAUUGCACAAUGGAGGAAACUCUGAUGCAGCGACGCCGCGUGAGGGAAGAAGGUUUUCGGAUUGUAAACCUCUGUCCUUGGUGACGAUAAUGACGGUAGCCAAGGAGGAAGCCACGGCUAACUACGUGCCAGCAGCCGCGGUAAUACGUAGGUGGCAAGCGUUGUCCGGAAUUACUGGGUGUAAAGCGUUCGUAGGCGGUAUGUCAAGUCUGGUGUUAAAGCCCGAGGCUCAACCUCGGUUCGGCAUUGGAUACUGGCAAACUAGAAUGUGGUAGAGGUAAAGGGAAUUCCUGGUGUAGCGGUGAAAUGCGUAGAUAUCAGGAGGAACAUCGGUGGCGAAAGCGCUUUACUGGACCAUUAUUGACGCUGAGGAACGAAAGCCAGGGGAGCAAAUG
rnacentral:rRNA from 1 species